GGCAGUGAUUGUACAGGUUUGUUAUGACUGGACAUUGAGGUGCUUGUGGACACAUGGGAUGGGGCAUGAAAUUAUUGAUUUUUAUUGAGAUAUAAUAAACAUCCAUAACUGAUUAAUAAUCACACAAUACAAAGGACAGACUUGGCCUUCUUAUUGCUAACCUUGUAAGAGGAAAUCAAAGUGCUCCCACAUCUCGGAGCGACCUCUCUUUGCCAAAAGGUUCCAUUGUAAAUUUGCUCUUUGCUACUCACAACAACACUGACUUUGACUAUCAGACAGCCAAGCCCGAUACCUGUUUCGUAUGGGGCGCCGUUUGUAAAAUGUAGCACGUUCUAAAAUCCUGCACCAUUUUCAUACAUUUAGCAUAAUCAUAUGUAUAAAAAAAGCAGGACAAUAUUCACAUGUCGAUUUUUCAAACAUUUGGAGUCAAAAUCAUGUAAAUACAUAAAAUAUGUAAAGCAUUUUACAAACCGCGCGCCAUAAUUUCGCACCCAUUUGAAUCAAAUCGAAGCGGUCACGUGACUGUGCGCCGGAACGAAGCUUCAGACGUCACUGAUCACGUGAUCAGCUGCGAACGAACCAAGCACCGAUACAUUUGCUUCACCUUGCACUGGUUCAUAUUUCGACACAAGCUUCGAAGCAGGAGAGUCGGAGGUAAUGCUUUGAACAGCGAAAAAGACAGCGGAUUUCAGCGAAUGUUCGAGUCGGCCUCGAAUGAUGUCAAACAACCGGCCACAGCAAAGCGCCGGGGGGGGGCGAGUCCGGUGCCCAGCACAAGUAACGUCAGCGGCAGCGCAGGAGGCACCGGGAGCACAAACGGUGGCGGCGGGACCAACGGUAACAACUCUGGAAAUGUUGUGCCCUCUCGGACCCCGACAGGGACCAGCGAGGGGGGCUUGUCGGUGCCGUCGUUGGCCGCCGUGCCGGCGUCGCGGGGCGGCUUCGCGUCUCUCAGCCGACCCACGGCGUCCUCGGGCAGCAGGAAGAAAUCCCUCCACCAAGCACCCCUUUACAACGGCCUCCUGAACUCCUACGAAGAUAAAAGCAACGACUUUGUCUGUCCCAUUUGCUUCGAAAUGAUAGAAGAGGCCCACAUGACAAAGUGUGGACACAGUUUUUGUUUCAAGUGUAUCCGCCAGAGUCUGGAGGACAGCAACCGAUGCCCGAAGUGUAACUACAUUGUCGACAACGUGGAUCAGCUCUACCCCAACUUUCUCGGAGAUGAGCGGGCUUUACUCUUCCAUGAUGGAGGCUGAGUGUACGGUGCCUAAUGUUGAGGCUCCCUCACCAGCACCCAGCUGCAGCAGUAUUAUGGAGACGCCAGACUACAGCCAGCCUCCAGGUUUUGGUGGAACAACCCAGCUCAAAAGACAGACCUGGUACAACAGCACCCUGGCGUCGAGGAGGGAGAGGCUCGCCGCAAAUAGGGCCCUGCAAUCGGAAUCACCUGGCUGAAAGCACAGAGAGGAGCGGGAGGCGCAUCAAUAACAGCCUGACAACCAAAUUUUAAGAAUGUUUUAGUGCUCCACGAAAGCCAGCACCACGGCAUCUUUACAGUGAUUGUCUCUUUGCCUGAGAGACAUCCGGGGUCGCAGGAGGACAAACGGGUGCAUGCAAGCUGCCGCGUCAAAGUACUCACUGGCUGCGGGAAUCUGUCGCGGUUCACAUCGGUACACGUGGUUGGGGGUUAGGUGUAGGCAACAAAAGCACUUAGCUGGCAAUACACCAAAUCUGUUGACAUCCGUUGAUAGUAAAUAAGGUUGCUGGAUCCUACACAUGGCCGACAUUUCACCAAGUCUGAAUUUAGAUAAAAAAGAAUGACCCAUUAAUCAAUGUCCUGUUAGCGUGUGUUUCAGAAACACACACAGCUCCCUCAAAAUAAAGUGUGUCACCCCAGAUGACAUGUUGAAAACCUUCGAGCCAAAAGGACGUGUUGGACGGAUUUGGUGCAUUUCCACCAUUUAUCAGGGUUAAAAAAAGCAUUAUGGUAAGAGAAAGGAGAGGCUGUGUUUUGUUGUAUGGCCUGGCUGACAUUGUUUUGUGUGGGAUCUGGUCGAGUGAGACCCAAUGGUACUCUACCUCAGUGUUGGAGAAGGGGUAGGUAGUUCAGCCCAUGGGUGUACAUUUUCCAUCACGUAGGUAAACCUUUGUUACACACACUAAGUUAGCUGGGUGGGGUCACCCCUGUAGUUUUUGCAAUAGAGAGGUGAGCUGGUUAGGGAUAGAUUGUGUUAGGCAGGGAAAGGGGUGUAGAGCAAAAGGGACCUUUUGUUUAUUUCCUUACUUUGACCCCAAUCCCCACAAUCCCAUUCUCCUCCCUGAUUUGGUUAUGUGUGUACCUUUUGUUUUGUUGUUGUUUGUUUGUGUCACCUACUAAAUGUCCCACGGGGACCAAACACAAAUUUUACGUGUCAGGACUCAUUUGUUUCAGCUGCACCCCCCCUCCACACUACUUCACUGUCCACUGCUGAUUAUACAGGGGGUGCCAGCACAGGUUUUUACGUUCCCCACCUGUAAAACGAGUUCCAACCUAGGUGGGAACGUAACAUGGGGGCUCGUCCGGGAUCUUUUGAAUCAGCCUGUGCACACACUCUGUGUUUGUAGCUUAGGACUGUGUAAAGUGUGGUAGUGGGUUUAGUGUGUUUGUUUAGGGUGACUCAUAAAAUGGCCACCUUUGAAGUAAAAGACUUUCUGGAUAACCCUACAUGGGAGGAUUUUGAAAAUUGUAGAAGAGUGGAUUUAGAAUCCUUGGCAGCCCAUUUGGGUGUCUCUGUGCCAAGGGGAUUUGUUAAGGCGGAGGUACGUGCUUUAGUGUUGGCCGCACUGCUUGAACAGCAGGUGCUAGUUUUGUCUCAACCUGUGUUUGAGGAGGGGGUGGAUACUCCGGGGUCCCCGGAGAGACCUCCUGAGGCUGAGUAUAAGGCCCCGGCCACCUUGCCUCGGUUUGAUCCCUUCUCUCCCAUGCCUUCUGCUGUACCGCUACAGCUGGACGCCGAAGAGAGGGCUCAGAUCCGAAAAGAGGAGCUCCAGCACAAGUUGGAGAUGCGUAAACUGGAGUUGGAAGCUGAGAGGGAUAUCCGAAUAAGGCAGAUGGAUUUUGAACUGCGAAAGUUGGAAUUGGACGCAGAGAGGGCGAGGCUUGCCGCUGCUUCUGCCAUGCCCACUGGGGGAUCUUCCGCUCAGAGCGCUGAAAAUACAUUUGACAUCAGCCUGCAUAUUGCUUUAGUUCCUCAAUUUUGUGAGUCUGAGGUGGAUUCGUACUUUAGUGCAUUUGAACGGAUAGCAGUGGCCUUAAAUUGGCCUAGGGACGUGUGGCCACUGUUACUUCAGUGUAAAUUGUCUGGUAAGGCGCAGGAGGUGCUGGGUACCCUCUCCCU